AAUGGCGCUAGGUUGACGCAGAGGAGAAGAAUUGUUGAAUAAAGUCGUUAUUUUUGUUUAUCUACGCACAAAUAGUAUUCUUGUAGCUUCGUAAAAUUACCGUUAAACCACUGGUGUCCAGUGGACUAUUUUGUCGAUGUUUUUGGUAACGUUACAUUUCUUUAGUAGGACCCUUGCUGUCUAUGGGGGGCGGAGUCAGAGAGCGCUCGGAUUUUGUCGAAAACAUCUUAAUUUGUGUUCCGAAGAUGAACGAAGGUCUUACUGUUUUGGAACAGGAUCAGGUACUGCCCUACAGAAGAUACCUGCAUGUUUCCCAGAAGACAAAGUAAGUUAAAUUUACCCUAAUCUUCAAAUUCUAGUUUUCACUUCCCAGCUCUUAAUACAUGCUCUUUAUGUUUCCUUCUGGAGCAUCAGUGAGUGUUUGAACCUUCUGUAAUAGUUGCAUAUGAGUCCCUCAGUUGUCCUCAGUGUGAAAAGAUGGAUCUCAAAAUCAUACAGUCAUUGUUGGAAAGGGUUCAAAUACACAAUAAUGCUGAAAAAACAAAGAAUUUGUGGGACUGUUCAGGACCAUCACGGGACUCGUGAACAACUAUCACUAAACAAAAAACACAGCUGUGGAUUAUUCAGCAAAGCUUUGGGUCUUCCAAGACAGCACCAGCCUGGCUUUAAAACACUCCAGCCCUUAUAAUAAAGGGCCUUCCAUCCCAGAUACCCCAG